rnacentral:ncRNA from 1 species
GGAAAGUUUGAUUUUUGCUUGAAGUUUUGUUUUAUAGUUGUCUAGUAUAUGUAAAUUUUAAUGUUAAAGGAUUUGUUUAAAAUAAAUAAUUUAUAAGAGCAAUAUUUAAUAUUAAUAUAUAAGGUAAAUCUUGAUUUAGUAAAUUAUAAGAAAUUUGAGAAAAUCUUGUGCCAGCAGUCGCGGUUAAACUUGGGAAUUAAAUAAAAUUUUUUAGUAAAAGUUAAUUAUAGUAUAAUUAUAAUAAGGGUUUGUAUAAAUAAAAAGUGAAAUUAAAUUAUUUUUUGUAAAUACUUAUAUAAUUAUAGAGUAAUGAAGCUUAUAAGGUUUAGGUAUGGACCAGGAUUAGAUACCCUAGUACACUUAACUUUAAUUAUAUAAUACUAGGAUAUUAAAAGAUAUGUUCUUGAAAUUUAAAGAAUUUGGCGGUAUUUUAGUCUAGUUAGAGGAACCUGUUUUAUAAACGACAUUACACGCAUUAUCUUACUUUUUUUUGUAUUCAGUUUGUAUACCGUCAUUAUCAGAUAAUUUGAGAAAUAAUAUUAUUGGAAUCAUAGUUUGAGUAUAUUAGAUCAAGGUGCAGCUUAUAAAUAAGAAAAAAUGGGUUACAAUAAAAUUUAUUUAUAACGGAGUUAUAAUUUAAAGAUUUUAAUGAAGGAGGAUUUAAUUGUAAAAUUGGAAAUAAUAAAACUUUUUGAUAGAAGCUCUAAAUUAUGUACAUAUCGCCCGUCGCUUCCGUUUAAGGCGGAAUAAGUCGUAACAUAGUAGAGGUACUGGAAAGUGUCUCUAGAAUUAA